rnacentral:sRNA from 1 species
AAAAACAUAAAAAAACCAAAACAUAAAAUUAACUAGUGAUUUAAUAGUCUGGUAAAUUGCUUGUGGAUCUGCCAAGAUAGUCAAAAUAUUGUCCAAAUGAAGUAGAUGGAAGAGGAGUUUCUUGAUCUUGAUCUUUUCGUUGGACACGUCGUUUUUGUAAAAUCCGUCCUUGUUCACUCUCAAAGUAUGCUCGAAUAUGUGAGUUUUGAAAGGAAUUCAAAUCACAAAAUAAAAUUUGUAAUGUUUUAUUAUUGUUAUAUGAUGUAAUGGUUUUUUAAUAAAUAAGUAGUGUCUAAUUUAA